UACGUAGGGGGCAAGCGUUGUCCGGAUUUAUUGGGCGUAAAGAGCGUGUAGGCGGCCUGGAAGGUCAGCUGUGAAAACUCGAGGCUCAACCUCGAGACGUCGGUUGAAACCACCUGGCUAGAGUCCGGAAGAGGAGAGUGGAAUUCCCGGUGUAGCGGUGAAAUGCGCAGAUAUCAGGAAGAACACCCGUGGCGAAGGCGGCUUUCUGGGACGGUACUGACGCUGGAGAACGCGAAAGCGUGGGGAGCGAACAGG
rnacentral:rRNA from 1 species